rfam:Rhizobium sp. LC145 LC145_contig21, whole genome shotgun sequence.
GUCCCCGAUGCGGCGGACCAAAGCCAUAGACCUGACAGAGCAAUGGCGAUAGCCGGCCCGAUCCGGGUUACGAGACCGAUCAGGACGGCUGU